rnacentral:rRNA from 1 species
GAUGAACGCUGGCGGCGUGCCUAAUACAUGCAAGUCGAGCGAACAGACGAGGUGCUUGCUCCUCUGACGUUAGCGGCGGACGGGUGAGUAACACGUGGAUAACCUACCUAUAAGACUGGGAUAACUUCGGGAAACCGGAGCUAAUACCGGAUAAUAUAUUGAACCGCAUGGUUCAAUAGUGAAAGACGCUUUUGCUGUCACCUAUAGAUGGAUCCGCGCCGCAUUAGCUAGUUGGUAAGUUAAGGGCUUACCAAGGGGUCCAUGCGAAGCCGACCGGAGGGGGUGUCGGCCCACCCUGGACCUGAGCCACGCUCCAUCCCCCCACGGGGCGCGCCGGAGGGAAAUUUUGCGCAAUGGAGGAAGGCCUUACGGGGCACCCCCGCGUGUGUGAGGAAGGUCUUCGAAUCGAAAAACUGUUUUAUUAGGGAGAAACAUAGGUGUAAGUAACUAUACACCUCGUGACGGUAACUACUCAGAAAGCCACGGCUAACUACGUG